UUGUAAGGCUAUACCAUCCUGAUUGCACCUGAUCUCAUUUGAUCUUGGAAGCUAAGCAGGAUUGGGCCUGAUUAGUAUUUGGAUGGGAAACCACCUGAAAGCAGGAGGUGCUACAUGUU
ensembl:rRNA 5S_rRNA 5S ribosomal RNA